UACGGGGGGGGGCAAGCGUUGUUCGGAAUUACUGGGCGUAAAGGGUGCGUAGGCGGCGCGGUAAGUCGGGUGUGAAAUCUCGGAGCUUAACUCCGAAACUGCAUUCGAUACUGCCGUGCUUGAGGACUGGAGAGGAGACUGGAAUUUACGGUGUAGCGGUGAAAUGCGUAGAUAUCGUAAGGAAGACCAGUGGCGAAGGCGGGCUCUG
rnacentral:rRNA from 1 species